UAGAGGGUCUUAGCUAAAGCCAGGAG
rnacentral:misc_RNA from 1 species